rnacentral:rRNA from 1 species
GACGAACGCUGGCGGCGUGCUUAACACAUGCAAGUCGAACGGUAAGGCCCUUCGGGGUACACGAGUGGCGAACGGGUGAGUAACACGUGGGUGAUCUGCCCUGCACUUCGGGAUAAGCCUGGGAAACUGGGUCUAAUACCGGAUAGGACCACUGCCUGCAUGGGUGGUGGUGGAAAGCUUUUGCGGUGUGGGAUGGGCCCGCGGCCUAUCAGCUUGUUGGUGGGGUGAUGGCCUACCAAGGCGACGACGGGUAGCCGGCCUGAGAGGGUGACCGGCCACACUGGGACUGAGAUACAGCCCAGACUCCUACGGGAGGCAGCAGUGGGGAAUAUUGCACAAUGGGCGCGAGCCUGAUGCAGCGACGCCGCGUGAGGGAUGACGGCCUUCGGGUUGUAAACCUCUUUCAGCACCGACGAAGCGCAAGUGACGGUGGGUGCAGAAGAAGGACCGGCCAACUACGUGCCAGCCGCCGCCGUAA